AAUCCUCACCAAAGCAGGUUCAAGAACCCAGGGCUCAAGCACAGCCUAGUGGCCCACGUCUUUACCCAGCACUUGGGAGGCAGAGGCAGGCUAAUCUCUGUGAGUUCGAAGCUAGCCUGGUCUACACAGAGAGUUCUAGAACAGCCAAGGCUACAUAGUGAGACCCUGUCUCAAAAAACAAACAAACAAACAAACAGCUCUCUGAGCUCUUCCUUCAGCCUGGGAGCAUCUUUGCUGACCUUCAGCUCACCCACACUUUCACAGAUCUGAUACUCCUGCCCGCUGAUGGAUACAGAAGACAAGGGCAGAACCAAGUGGCGUUUCACAUCAAGAACCGGUCGUCCGGGGAACCGAAGCCCAAAGACCGAGGUCCCAAAAGCCUGUGCUCCUGCCAUGGGAACUGUCCCACAGAUCAGGAAGAGGGAGGGGUCCGAGGAAAGCAGCUGGCGCCGGGAAGCCGGCGACUGAGACCUAGGGGAGCCGGUGGGAGAGCGGUCCAGAGAACGCCCAGGUGGAACCACUGGGAGAAGGGCGCGUGCGUGGAGGAGCGCGGAUCCGCGGGGACCAGCGCAGCAAGUGUGGCCGGGAGAGCGCGGCGGAAACUCGCGAAGUGACGUCACGGCCGGGCGCACCCGCGGCCGCCAGGGCGUUACCAUGUCUGUAAAGGGGAACGCUUCCCACCGCUUCACCCUACUCUCUCCAACGCGCCUGCGCCAAGUCACUUCGGGGCGGAAGUAACGGAGCGAAGUUCAGCCCCCUUAAAGGGACAGGGAUCCCUGCAGCCUGAGGGUGCGCUGCUGCUGGAAGAGAGGCGAAGUGACCCAAAAGGACGUAAGUAGCUGCUCACUACCGAUCGACAUUGGGCCAGAGUCCUCAUCCCUUUAGUGCUGCACGUUGUCUGAGUAGCUGCCCAAAAGAUGCAGGUGCCCGCAAAUGGAACUUUCGUGCUGCUGCUAACCGACGCGAACUCUUUCCUUUUGCACACCUAUCCCGCUAGCGAAGGUCGUCCCGUGGAAGCCCGAGUUAACAGUGCAUUCUGAGCUGAGCUGCGGGUGGAUCCACGUCUCCAGGUCAUCAGCCGCCAGCUCUUCAUCUGUGUGGACCCUCCUGGGUCCUCAUAAUUCCCAGGCUAACUGUAGUGAUCCAUACGUUGGUAAAUUGUUCAGCCAUUAAAACGAAGUGUUCCGUG